rnacentral:rRNA from 1 species
CGAUCGUCCGAGUUGUAAUCUAGAGAAGUGUUACCCGCGUCGGACCGUGUACAAGUCUCCUGGAAUGGAGCGUCAUAGAGGGUGAGAAUCCCGUCUUUGACACGGACUACCGAGGCAUUGUGGUGCGCUCUCAAAGAGUCGAGUUGUUUGGGAAUGCAGCUCAAAAUGGGUGGUAAAUUCCAUCUAAAGCUAAAUAUUGGCGAGAGACCGAUAGCGAACAAGUACCGUGAGGGAAAGAUGAAAAGAACUUUGGAAAGAGAGUUAAACAGUACGUGAAAUUGCUGAAAGGGAAACGCUUGAAGUCAGUCGCGUCGGCCGGAAAUCAACCUUGCUUCUGCUUGGUGUACUUUCUGGUCGACGGGCCAGCAUCAGUUUUGACCGAUGGAAAAAGUUCAAGGGAAUGUGGCUUCUCCGGAAGUGUUAUAGCCCUUGAUCGUAUACAUCGGUUGGGACUGAGGAAUUCAGCACGCCGCAAGGCCGGGUUUCGACCACGUUCGUGCUUAGGAUGCUGGCAUAAUGGCUUUAAUCGACCCGUCUUGAAACACGGACCAAGGAGUCUAACAUGCCUGCGAGUGUUUGGGUGGAAAACCCGAGCGCGUAAUGAAAAGUGAAANUUGGGAUCUU